rnacentral:sRNA from 1 species
UUAUAAUUUAUCUAUAUGUGGUAUAAUCAUAUAUAUGAAAGUUGGUCAACUCUUUUCAUAUGAAUGACACAUCAUCACUUAGCUUUUGCCACAUGUCCACUUAAUAAUUAAUGUAAGUUAAUGGUUUAUGGUAAUUUAUUAUUUAAUUGUAUAUA